GGCGAACGGGUGAGUAACACGUGGGCAACCUGCCCUCAGCUCUGGGAUAACUCCAAGAAAUUGGGGCUAAUACUGGAUAUGACCGCUGACCGCAUGGUCUGGUGGUGGAAAGAUUUAUCGGCUGGGGAUGGGCCCGCGGCCUAUCAGCUUGUUGGUGGGGUAGUGGCCUACCAAGGCGACGACGGGUAGCCGGCCUGAGAGGGUGACCGGCCACACUGGGACUGAGACACGGCCCAGACUCCUACGGGAGGCAGCAGUGGGGAAUAUUGCGCAAUGGGCGAAAGCCUGACGCAGCGACGCCGCGUGGGGGAUGACGGCCUUCGGGGUUGUAAACCUCUUUUCAGCAGGGACGAAGCGAAAGUGACGGUACCUGCAGAAGAAGCACCGGCCAACUACGUGCCAGCAGCCGCGGUAAUACGUAGGGUGCAAGCGUUGUCCGGAAUUAUUGGGCGUAAAGAGCUCGUAGGCGGUUUGUUGCGUCGGCUGUGAAAACCUGAGGCUCAACCUCAGGCCUGCAGUCGAUACGAGCAGACUAGAGUGUUGCAGGGGAGACUGGAAUUCCUGGUGUAGCGGUGAAAUGCGCAGAUAUCAGGAGGAACACCGGUGGCGAAGGCGGGUCUCUGGGCAACAACUGACGCUGAGGAGCGAAAGCGUGGGGAGCGAACAGGAUUAGAUACCCUGGUAGUCCACGCCGUAAACGUUGGGCGCUAGGUGUGGGGCUCAUUCCACGAGUUCCGUGCCGCAGCUAACGCAUUAAGCGCCCCGCCUGGGGAGUACGGCCGCAAGGCUAAAACUCAAAGGAAUUGACGGGGGCCCGCACAAGCGGCGGAGCAUGUUGCUUAAUUCGAUGCAACGCGAAGAACCUUACCUAGGCUUGACAUGCACGGAAAUCCUCCAGAGAUGGUGGGUCCGCAAGGGUCGUGCACAGGUGGUGCAUGGUUGUCGUCAGCUCGUGUCGUGAGAUGUUGGGUUAAGUCCCGCAACGAGCGCAACCCUCGUUCUAUGUUGCCAGCACGUAAUGGUGGGGACUCAUAGGAGACUGCCGGGGUCAACUCGGAGGAAGGUGGGGAUGACGUCAAAUCAUCAUGCCCCUUAUGUCUAGGGCUGCAAACAUGCUACAAUGGCCGGUACAAAGGGCUGCGAUACCGCGAGGUGGAGCGAAUCCCAAAAAGCCGGUCUCAGUUCGGAUUGGGGUCUGCAACUCGACCCCAUGAAGUUGGAGUCGCUAGUAAUCGCAGAUCAGCAACGCUGCGGUGAAUACGUUCCC
rnacentral:rRNA from 1 species